GACGAACGCUGGCGGCGUGCCUAAUACAUGCAAGUGGGACGCAAGGGAACACACUGUGCUUGCACACCGUGUUUUCUUGAGUCGCGAACGGGUGAGUAACGCGUAGGUAACCUGCCUAUUAGCGGGGGAUAACUAUUGGAAACGAUAGCUAAUACCGCAUAAUAUUAAUUAUUGCAUGAUAAUUGAUUGAAAGAUGCAAGCGCAUCACUAGUAGAUGGACCUGCGUUGUAUUAGCUAGUUGGUAGGGUAAGAGCUUACCAAGGCGACGAUACAUAGCCGACCUGAGAGGGUGAUCGGCCACACUGGGACUGAGACACGGCCCAGACUCCUACGGGAGGCAGCAGUAGGGAAUCUUCGGCAAUGGACGAAAGUCUGACCGAGCAACGCCGCGUGAGUGAAGAAGGUUUUCGGAUCGUAAAGCUCUGUUGUAAGUCAAGAACGUGUGUGAGAGUGGAAAGUUCACACAGUGACGGAGCUACCAGAA
rnacentral:rRNA from 1 species